GACGAACGCUGGCGGCGUGCUUAACACAUGCAAGUCGAACGGAGCACCCUUGAUUGAGGUUUCGGCCAAAUGAUAGGAAUGCUUAGUGGCGGACUGGUGAGUAACGCGUGAGGAACCUGCCUUUCAGAGGGGGACAACAGUUGGAAACGACUGCUAAUACCGCAUGACGCAUUUUGAUCGCAUGGUCGAAAUGCCAAAGACUUAUCGCUGAAAGAUGGCCUCGCGUCUGAUUAGCUAGUUGGUGAGGUAACGGCCCACCAAGGCGACGAUCAGUAGCCAGACUGAGAGGUUGACCGGCCACAUUGGGACUGAGAUACGGCCCAGACUCCUACGGGAGGCAGCAGUGGGGAAUAUUGGGCAAUGGGCGCAAGCCUGACCCAGCAACGCCGCGUGAAGGAAGAAGGCUUUCGGGUUGUAAACUUCUUUUAAGUGGGAAGAGUAGAAGACGGUACCACUUGAAUAAGCCACGGCUAACUACGUGCCAGCCGCCGCCGUAA
rnacentral:rRNA from 1 species